rnacentral:rRNA from 1 species
CGGGACAGCCUCGGGAAACCGUGGGUAAUACCGGAUACUCCGGGACGGCCGCAUGGCCGGCCCGGGAAAGCCCAGACGGGAGGGGAUGGGCCCGCGGCCUGUUAGCUAGUCGGCGGGGUAACGGCCCACCGAGGCGAUUAUGAGUAGCCGGGUUGAGAGACCGACCGGCCAGAUUGGGACUGAGACACGGCCCAGACUCCUACGGGAGGCAGCAGUGGGGAAUCUUGCGCAAUGGGCGGAAGCCUGACGCAGCGACGCCGCGUGCGGGACGAAGGCCUUCGGGUCGUAAACCGCUUUCAGCAGGGACGAGGCCCUCACGGUGACGGUACCUGCAGAAGAAGCCCCGGCUAACUACGUGCCAGCAGCCGCGGUAAUACGUAGGGGGCGAGCGUUAUCCGGAUUCAUUGGGCGUAAAGCGCGCGUAGGCGGCCUGUUAGGUCGGGGGUCAAAUACCGGGGCUCAACCCCGGUCCGCCCCCGAUACCGGCAGGCUUGAGUCUGGUAGGGGAAGGCGGAAUUCCCAGUGUAGCGGUGGAAUGCGCAGAUAUUGGGAAGAACACCGGCGGCGAAGGCGGCCUUCUGGGCCACGACUGACGCUGAGGCGCGAAAGCUAGGGGAGCGAACAGGAUUAGAUACCCUGGUAGUCCUAGCCGUAAACGAUGAA